ACGAACGCUGGCGGCGUGCUUAACACAUGCAAGUCGUACGGUAAGGCCCUUUCGGGGGUACACGAGUGGCGACCGGGUGAGUAACACGUGAGUAACCUGCCCACAACUUUGGGAUAACGCUAGGAAACUGGUGCUAAUACUGGAUAUGUGCUCCUGCUGCAUGGUGGGGGUUGGAAAGCUCCGGCGGUUGUGGAUGGACUCGCGGCCUAUCAGCUUGUUGGUGGGGUAGUGGCCUACCAAGGCGGCGACGGGUAGCCGGCCUGAGAGGGUGACCGGCCACAUUGGGACUGAGAUACGGCCCAGACUCCUACGGGAGGCAGCAGUGGGGAAUAUUGCACAAUGGGCGCAAGCCUGAUGCAGCAACGCCGCGUGCGGGAUGACGGCCUUCGGGUUGUAAACCGCUUUCAGCAGGGACGAAGCUUUUUGUGACGGUACCUGCAGAAGAAGCACCGGCUAACUACGUG
rnacentral:rRNA from 1 species